ensembl:snRNA
CUGUAACUGGAAGGAUGAAGAAUGGCAAUACCCUUGACAAAGAUGACUAAUAGGUCUGUCUAUGCACACACACACACACACACACACAUACACGUAUGUGUGUGUGUGUGUGUGUAUAU